rnacentral:rRNA from 1 species
UAAUACGUAGGUGGCAAGCGUUGUCCGGAUUUACUGGGCGUAAAGGGCUUGUAGGCGGUUUGUUAAGUCUGGUGUGAAAUCUCCCGGCUCAACCGGGAGGGGUCAUCGGAUACUGGCAGACUUGAGACGGGUAGAGGAAAGCAGAAUUCCCGGUGUAGCGGUGAAAUGCGUAGAUAUCGGGAGGAA